CCAGGAGGGUCCAGUUCCCGGCCACCGCCCAGCACGGCCGAGGUCAGCGGGAAGUGAUAGAGCAGGUACCUGGGACAGGUGAGGGACAGACAGGUGGGACAGGUGUGUGACAGGUGACACAGGGACAGGUGUGACAGGUACAGGUGUGACAGGUACAGGUGUGACAAGGCCCAGGGACACGCAGGGUUCAGGCUGUACCUGAGGCCGCUGGAGUGGGGCUGGAGCAGGUUUGGGGCAGGUUUGGGGCAGGUUUAGGGCAGGUUUAGGCCAGGUUUAGGCCGGGUUUGGGGCAGGUUCGGGGCAGGUUUAGGGCAGGUUUAGGGCCGGGUUUGGGGCAGGUUUAGGCCGGGUUUGGGGCAGGUUUAGGGCAGGUUUAGGCCGGUUUGGGGCAGGUUUAGGCCGGGUUUGGGGCAGGUUUGGGGCAGGUUCAGGCCGGAUUUGGGGCAG